rnacentral:misc_RNA from 1 species
CAACCCUCAAGCUCUGCUUGGUGUUAGGCCAGGCCCGUCGCGGCCGGCCCCAAAGACAGUGGCGGCGCCGCCUAGCUCUCAGCGUAGUACGUCUUCUCGCUGCGGCGCUUGGCGGUGGCCUGCCAGAACCCCAACUCUGU